CCAGCGCCUGUCUACGCCACCCUUAGUCUGAUUCCUUUAGGUCCCCGGAGUUCUGUCUCCCAACUUUGUUCCGCUCUCUCAAGGGAGCGACGGGACAUCCAGCUGAGGCCAAGUCCCCGUCCGCCCCCUCGAGCGUCAGGUGCUCGAUGCCCAGCCAGGCCCCCAACUCCCCGCCGCUUGGGUCCCAGAGUCCGUGCGCACCCGGCCCCCCGCCCCCAGGAGGCGGCACUCACUCUCCCCCACCACCGCCUUCAGCCCCGAGGGCGCCAUCUUCCCCUAGGGGCGCCGCCGCUUCCGGGUCUGUCCCAAGGUGGGGGCGUGGCCCUUAACGUCAUCCACGUGGACUCCGCCCUGCGGGGGCCUGGCUCCCGCCCCCUGCGCACCUGGCCCCGCCCCGCCGUCGGUUUUCAGAGAGGUUGCUGGGUUCCGUGUGGAGAGGACCCGCGAAUGAGUCCACGCAGACGCGCACCAAGUCGCCGGACGACGCACUCACAGACCCAUGUGAAGGACACAAGGGGGACAUCUGUGACAACAGAGGCAGAGCCUGAAGUCCUGCUGCCACAAGCCAAGGGACACCAAGGACUGCCGGCAGCCACAAGAACCCAGGGAGAGGCAAGGAAAGACCCUCUCUUCCAUGCUACAGGAGUAUAGCCCUGCCAACACCUCGAUUCUGUACUGCCGGCCUCCAGAACUGUAUGACAAUAAACGUCUGUUGCUCUAA